GAUGAAGAACGCAGCGAAAUGCGAUAAGUAAUGUGAAUUGCAGAAUUCAGUGAAUCAUCGAAUCUUUGAACGCACAUUGCGCCCGCCAGCAUUCUGGCGGGCAUGCCUGUUCGAGCGUCAUUUCAACCCUCGAGCCCGACUUCCUUGCGGAGGACGGCUCGGCGUUGGGGGACGGCACACUCCCCCCGGCUCGCCGGGGACGCCGCCCCCGAAAUUCAGUGGCGGCCCUCGGAGGCGACCUCUGCGUAGUAACUCAACCUCGCAAAGGGAAGCUCCGAGCGGCCACGCCGUGAAACCCCAACUAUAUCAAGGUUGACCUCGAAUCAGGUAGGACUACCUGCUGAACUUAAGCAUAUCAAUAAGCGGAGGA
rnacentral:misc_RNA from 1 species